AACGAACGCUGACGGCAUGCCUAACACAUGCAAGUCGAACGAGACCUUCGGGUCUAGUGGCGCACGGGUGCGUAACGCGUGGGAACCUGCCCUUAGGUUCGGAAUAACUCCCCGAAAGGGGUGCUAAUACCGGAUAAUGUCUUCGGACCAAAGAUUUAUCGCCUUUGGAUGGGCCCGCGUUGGAUUAGCUAGUUGGUAGGGUAAAAGCCUACCAAGGCGACGAUCCAUAGCUGGUCUGAGAGGAUGAUCAGCCACACUGGGACUGAGACACGGCCCAGACUCCUACGGGAGGCAGCAGUGGGGAAUAUUGGACAAUGGGCGAAAGCCUGAUCCAGCAAUGCCGCGUGAGUGAUGAAGGCCUUAGGGUUGUAAAGCUCUUUUACCCGGGAUGAUAAUGACAGUACCGGGAGAAUAAGCGCCGGCUAACUCCGUG
rnacentral:rRNA from 1 species